GAGUUUGAUCAUGGCUCAGGGUAAACGCUGGCGGCGUGCCUAAAACAUGCAAGUCGAACGCACAUCCUUGUGGUGUGAGUGGCAGACGGCUGAGUAACACGUGGGUGACGUACCUAUUGGUGGGGAAUAACUGCCCGAAAGGGUGGCUAAUACCGCAUACGCCUGUUCGUUCAGUUCGGACAGGGAAAGUCGCAAGAUGCCGAUGGAGCGGCCCGCGACCGAUUAGCCAGUUGGUGGGGUAACGGCCUACCAAAGCGACGAUCGGUAGCUGGUCUCAGAGGAUGAUCAGCCAGACUGGGACUGAGACACGGCCCAGACUCCUACGGGAGGCAGCAGUUAGGAAUUUUGGGCAAUGGGCGCAAGCCUGACCCAGCAACGCCGCGUGGGUGACGAAGGCUUCGGUUGUAAGCCUUUCUGAGGAAGAUGAUGACGGUACUCCAGGAAGAAGCACCGGCUAACUACGUGCCAGCAGCCGCGGAAU
rnacentral:rRNA from 1 species